AUACGGAGGGUGCAAGCGUUACUCGGAAUCACUGGGCGUAAAGCGCGCGCAGGCGGUCUUUUAAGUUGGAUGUGAAAGCCUACGGCUCAACCGUAGAACUGCAUCCAAAACUAUUAGACUAGAGUGUGGGAGAGGAUGAUGGAAUUAGUUGUGUAGGGGUAAAAUCCGUAGAGAUAACUAGGAAUACCAAAAGCGAAGGCAAUCUUCUGGAACACUACUGACGCUGAGGCGCGAAAGCGUGGGGAGCAAACAGGAUUAGAAACCCGAGUAGUCC
rnacentral:rRNA from 1 species